rnacentral:rRNA from 1 species
GGCCACCACGAGGUGUUCUAGCAGCAGGCAAGUCCUUUGGAACAAGGCGCCAGCGAGGGUGACAGCCCCGUACCUGCUUUUGCUAGUGCUUCCUGUGGCCCACCGACGAGUCGAGUUGUUUGGGAAUGCAGCUCUAAGUGGGUGGUAAAUUCCAUCUAAGGCUAAAUAUUGGCGAGAGACCGAUAGCGAACAAGUACAGUGAUGGAAAGAUGAAAAGCACUUUGAAAAGAGAGUGAAACAGUACGUGAAAUUGUUGAAAGGGAAGGGCUUGCACCCGGACACGGUUUCGGCCGGGCCAGCAUCAAGUAGAACGGGGUUAAAAGACCUGGGGAAUGUAGCUACCUCUUGGUAGUGUUAUAGCCCUUGGGUGAUGACCCCUGUUUUGCUUGAGGACAGCGGUCUCUAGGAUGCUGGCGCAAUGGUUGCAAGCCACCC